GAAUAGUGGAAGGUGUCCCUGCCCAUGGCAGGGGGUUGAACAGGAUGGUCUUUGAGGUCACUUCCAACCCAAAGCAUUCUGUGAUUGAUGCUAUGAUUUAGAAGCUGUUAAAUCUAACCCAAACGUUUAACAGAACUUGCAAAAUUCACUUUGAAUGUGAACUUCAGAUCUCCCUGGGGAAUGUGUUUGCCAGAUCCUGGCUUAGAUUGUGCGCUUUUCUGAGGCAGGGUUUGUGUCUGUGUAUUGAGUCUAGUGCCAUUCAAUAAAUAACACUUUGUAACAAAACUAAUCAGUCUUGUUUCUGAUUUCUAGCAGAAAAACCCUGCCCACCUGGAUGUAUCCAUUACAGCUGGCACCUUUAGGAGGUUCACGGCACUUCCCUAUGGAGCUGUUGAGAGCAGAAGGACUUUAUUUCUCUAUAGCCAGUGAGCAGGAGGGGUGACUUGUUCUUUUAUGGUAUUUUAAGCACCUAAGAAUGCCCAGUGGGCAGCUCAGCACAGUGUAAAUGUUCUCACGUGGCUCGGAAAUGAUGUCUGCUGUCAUGGAAUGAGAGCUCUGUGCUUUUGGCAAGCCAGAAAACAGGUCUUAUUUUGGUUUAAAUAUUUUUUCGUUGGAAUAUGAACUUCAGGACUCAGAGUUAUGCCAUGAUACUGAAGUAUUUCCUCCUGAAUGUCAGUGUUAACCAACCCUGAGACUUCAGGCCAGCUUGGCUGUGCUGGAUCUUUGUAGCUGUGCCCCAUCCCACUGUGCAAUCCCUUAUAGGGAAACUGUGAAAAUGAGAGGAAGAAAUGAGCAGUGGACUUCUCUGUGGUGAACCAUUUUAUCAUGGGCUCCUCUGCUAACUGUACAAAGUUAACACUUUAUAAGAUCGUGGUCAUUUUAGUAUCUAAUCUCUCUGUGAGCAGACAUUCUGUGAGGUAGAAGUAUUUCAUUUUUUUUUAGGUUAAAAGCUGCAGUAUUUGUGUUAUCUGUGCUUUGUUAAUGCCAAAGGUCUUGCAGCUGCUCCUGUAGGUGCAGCACAGGAGAGUUGCCUGGGGAUAUGCAUUUGUGCAAAUUAAAGGCUUCUAAAUUUAAAAACAAAAGCAUUAAGGCACUCUAAGCAUGGCACUGGUCAUAUAUAAUCCUAGAGCUUAGGUGAUGGCAUUUAAAAAAUGUAUUUUAAGAUGCCUUUGAUGUAUCAGUUGCAGAAUAUAGAGAAAUUUCGCCCAAAGUCUUCCAUACAUUUGGCACUCAGUAGGAAAAGGCAAAUAUAGGAAUGUCUGUAUAUUCCAGGUCUCUAUAAGAACAGCACUGUAAGUAGCUGUUGAAUGUAUCACGUGGCUUCCUUGAGAGCAGAGACAAAGUAACAAGAAGAGAGAUUUCUGGGAUAAGUAAGUCACCUAUUGCUCUUGACAUACUUUCUUUUUGUGCAGUUAAACUCAGAAUACAUGUACGGUCACAGCCACAAUAUACUAGAAAUAUUAAAAAUAUUCUAACACUGAGCUUCUUUAUAUAUAAUGAAAUAACUGUCCUUCUCUGUUAGACUUUGCAGGUGUUCAGGGGACUUCUAGCUUCUUUUAUUUUUGUCUCAAGUAUUUAGUUCCUUUUUUUUUUUGAAAUGCCUUUCCUCUUGGUGUAUCUAUUUUGUAAUUAAUUAGGCAACGUUUGUCCAGUGGUGGUUCAGAUCCUCUGUGUGGAACUGCAGUAUUUCCAUACAAAUGAAGGUCAUGUGCUUCCCACUAUUAAGUUUUAUUAUCUAAGUGAUUGCAGACUGCUCAGAGGAGUGAGGUAAGAAGUUCUGAAGUACUUGAUGUGCAGGUAGGAAGGGAGGAAAUCCCAAUGGAUGUGAAGUUGACAUUAGUGAAGUUCAGCCAGGAAUAGCUGGAUUAUAAAAAUGAAAGCUUAAACCUUUACUAGUGAUGAAGAAAAUUGGGCUUCAGUGUUGACAAUCAGCAGUAAGUUCCUUCAUAUUUAUUACUGUGUGUCAGAAAACGAAGAAAAAACUAAACAAAAGCACCCGUUAAUGCUGAAUUUAUACUUUCCCCAGCUCUGGCACAUUCCUGUUCUCCUGUUCAGAAAAUGGACAUUUAGUUAUUCAGACAUAACUUCAUGUUGAUUUUAAUCAUUUCCCUGUGAGGGUUCCCACUGGAGAAGUUCAGCAGCCCUUAGGAAGCCUGAAUUAGUGCAUUAUAUCCACUGGAGUUUAGUGGGGAUUUCUUGAAUCGGGUCUGGGUAUGUUUUGCAGCAGUGCAGGAUCUUCUGGAUGUGAGUAACCAUGGAAAUAUUUAUGCUGUAGAGAACUCUGUGAGAAAAUAUUUGGAUGAGAAAAAUCUCAGAAUUGGGUUUCCUAUCAAGUCUGCAAAACAAACAGUACUCACUUUGUAGUUUCUUUUUCCAAUAACACCAGUAAAAUGAGCAGCUCUUGUCAGUGGCCUUGGUGAUCUCCAGGGAGGAGCACUCCUGUUUUUCCUGAAUAAACUGUGUCCAGACUUUGUUGUGCUUUGUGGCUGCAGCUCUCAGCUACGAUCCCACGUGUUAUCAGAUGUGUGCAGCAAUCAGUGAUGCAUUAACUGAGUAAUUAAUUGUGUUAUUGGCAGCCCAGCAGCACAAGGAGAGUUUUAGUUCCCAGCUGAUGGAGCUGCUUCUCCCCCUGGCCCAUGAGCUGGGAUGGGGGGUUGGCAUCAAUCACACAAUCCUUUAAUUCCAGACUUAAGAUGUGCCUUGUUUUAAGACUGAUUUGGUAAUCCUGUGUUUGGACAGAGCAAGAGCUGUGUUGUAAAGAGGCUAUUUUUAUUCCUCCUGGAAUUUUCUGAUAGCUGACAUAUUUGUAUCAAAUGUUAAUGUUGGCCAGUUUAGGAACUACGUUCCCGUUGCCAGGGUUUACUUAGGAUUGGAUUUUAAAGCCAGUUUUUGCAUGUUUUGUCACUUACUGUUAAAUUAUCUGAAUAUAGAUGUUUAAUUUCUCUUGUUGCCUAGCAGAGGGGGAUGCAAGGUACAGAAUUUGAUUACAAAUACACUUAAUUUCUUGUAUUAUUUCUCAGGACUGCAGGUUUGCAUUGGUGACCGUAGUGAUGCUGUUACAGCUGCACUGGGGGAGUCGUGCAGUGUUGUGAAAGAAGAUUUGUGCAGCAGCUUUACUUUAGAUGUGGCAAAGGACUCUGGUUGUCAUCACCUGCAAUCAAGCCAUCAGUCUGUCUUUCAAAACUUGGAAGUAGGUGCUUGAAGUCCAGUGAGAAUUUAGGAGUGAGUUUUUCUGUGGCAGGCACAAGACACUGGUUAGUACCAGAAAUGUAUCCUGUGCAUGUCCAGGCUGUCAGUGCAGCAGCCAUUCCAGUGUUGUAAACUUAAAUUUUUUUAAAACUCUUUUUAACUGACUUCCAGGUUAUUUCUGCAUGCAGCCUUUUUUUCCUGGAUUCUGAGGUGUAGACAUUAUUACUGAUGUAAAUAGUUUAUCUGUGGAAGUUGUGAGCUUUGAAGGUGAGAAGAGAUGGUUUUUCUCCAGGAUCAAGGGAGUGGUUUUGUGGGUAAAUACAGUCAGUCACCAGUGUACAGAUCAAGAAAUAAACUUAAGUGCAAAACACUUAAAAUUGCACCUCAAUCUCUGAAUAGUCUGUAUUCUUCCCAACAAAGUAAAACCUCUAGUUUAUAAUUACCGCUGCUUUAGUAAACUCCCACCUAAAUCAAACACACCCAGGUGGUUUUGGGAGUGGCAAUUACUUAUUUUGUUGCUAUGAAAACCAACAGGAGAAAAUCUUCAAAGUUUUAGAAUCUUCCUGUUUUGAGUAACUUAAGAUUCUGAAACAGAAGACAGUCCUCCUUAAAUAUUUCCCUUCUUAGACCUACCUUAUAGCAAGUGUGGUCACAUUUUCAGCCUUUUGUGAUCUCAGACUGGGAGGAAAUGUUUACUGAAGAGGUGUCUAAUGCUGUCCAUCCCUCAGAUGUCACUUGCUGCUGACUUUGGAGAGCUGAAAUGGUUUAUUGUUUCACUUUGGUAAAGAAAACCAACUCUGGUUGGAUUUAUUUCUCUACCUGUAUGAGCAGAUUCAGGGUUUUCUUGUUUUUCAGUAGCUAAAGUGAUCUGUCAUGGUCAACCUGAAGAAUCUUCCUUAUUUAUGCAACCUGUUGCUAGUUUAUAUCUUGUAGAGAUAAAGAAUAGGAUUCUAAUACUGAUGGUGAGUCCUUGGACAUGAUCCACCUGCCAGCAUAGGAGAGUCUCAAGCUUGUCAACACUGAUCAACUGUUAAAAUAAUCUGUUGUUACAGAUGCACAUUGUAGAGCAACAUGAUCCAACAGAAUCAGGACUAGAGAUGCACAGUCCUUCUGUGUAACUCUCCAGAAGCAAUGUGUGUGUCCCCAGCAGCCUGGGCCUGGCCCAGGGAGGGAAGCAGCACUGCUGCAAAGUGUGGCUGCUCAGCAAAAGAAAGCUUGUGAGGGCAGUGGUUAUGUGGCUUCAGGGCUUUUGCUUGUCCAAAUUACUUCCAUCACUUUGGGUUAAUUUACUUUUCAGCCUCAGCCAGCGAGGCUGCAGUUGGUCAGUACUGAUUCUUAUUUGAAAGUAUUAAUGCCCUCAGUCUUUUGAAUUAAAAGUUUUAAGCUAUAAAUAGCUGCUCUUGGUGAGAAUCUACAGUACAGCCAGUGAUUAAAUUCUGAUUUUUUUUUUCCUGCUUAGCCAAAGAUACUUUUCAUUUGUGUGUGUUGUUUGGAGGAUAUUAUUACAGGUAGCUAAUUGCCAAGGAGUUAACUAACCAGUCAACAUUUAACCUGUGGAUUAAUUGCCAGCCUGUCCUGUUUGCAGGAGGUUUGUACCUUCAGGGACGUGCUUUCCCCUGCAGUGCUCCCUGUACUCUGUCACCUCAUUAGUUACAGCUAUAAACAGAACCCCUGAAAGGAGCCGUGUUGUGUGACAUGCAGAACUCUGACACAGCAAAAUACAUGUCUUUUUUGGAGAGUUUGAUUAUUCUAGAUCAGUGAAAGGUCUUUUAUUACUGUGGGAGGGAUCUGUCUGCUCCUUGCAAGCAGCACAACGGGGGACAAACUGGUACGAGGGGAGACAGGAGCAUUUGGCUGGGGGAGGCACUGCUUGUUAAAGUGACUGACAGGGAACACAUUAAGCUACAUUUUGAUUCUGCCUCAAACAGUGUUUCAGAUUUUUCCACUUCUGAUGUGUUUGGGAAAAGCAGGCUCUCAAAGUACCCUUUGUAGACUGGAAACCCCUAGAAUUAGGGCUGAAGUUGAGCUUUAAGCAUCUCUGCUAAAGUAGCUGGUGCUUCCUGUGCUGCUCUUGCCACCUCUUACUGCAGUCUGAUGUAACAGGUCCCUUGUCCUUUCUGAAGUAACGAAAUCAGCAGAUUUCCUGCUUUCUAAAAGCCCAACAAACAAAGUAAAUUUAACUUCCAAAAACUUAGGCAUCACUUGGGUGGGUUUGGGAGGGGUGUGUGGGUUUGGAAUGCAUCAGCUUUUGGGUGAAUUUACUACAACCGAACCUGCUGAAAUUGGAAUCCUAAGGAAUGCAUUUUGGAUGUGCAGACAGUAUGUAUAACAAAUUAUAUCUAAUUUUAUGCAGCAAUAAAACACCCCAUGUUCUUCCUAAACCCUUGCUUGGCUUGUUUUAUCACAUUGCCUAAAAUGGUAUUUUCAGUGGGCAGUUCUUACACUGUUUUUUGAGGAAGAGUUCAGGGGAUUUCAGUUCUUCCUGUAUCUGAUGAUACACAGUUUGGACUAUAACUGUAUGAUGCUGCUGCCUGCUUUAUUCUGGUUGUCCAUUUUUGGUUGGCACAGCAACUUGUAAGAACCAUUUUUAAACAACUCUUUGGGAGUCCUUUAAUAGCAACGUCCUGAAGAUGAAAAAGCUCUGCAUGGGGGUGGCUCAGUCCAUCUGGAAAUAGGAGACUUGGUUUGAGCCUGGUUGUAGCUCCUGUGUUCUCAGAUACUAGAAUGUAUUUGCUGUAAGGCUCUUACCUCUUCUACUGCUUGUUUUCUGCAGCUCUGUGUAAUUGGACGUAAUAGGCAGCGAGAAUUUCUAUAAUGGAAAGUUCCAGGCAGUUGGUGUCUCAAAAUAGCUCUCAAUUCUUAAGUAAAAGUAACUUCCUUGCUGCACAUAACUUGAAAAACUGGUGGGUGGGGGGGAAAGCUGGUUCUUGUCUCACAGACAUAGGCAACUGAAAGGAGAAAAUGAGGGGGAGAGAACAGUCUCUGUGCUGUAUUUUUGGUGCUAUUACGGAGUCAGAAUUGUCAUGACAACUCUUACUAUUUUUCUCUUCAUAAUCAUGAAGCUUUACUUCAUUUUAAGGUCACGAUUCUCUUCCAGCUGAUAAAUCCGUAAGAUGCGGAGUUGCGUUCACUGUGUUGUGCUCCCUUCUAUGGCUGUGGUUUUAUCUUCAGGAAGAGACUUGCAAACCAGCAUGUGGAGUUAUUCCAAAUCUCCUUCCUUAAGGGUGGCUGGGACUAGAGAGGCAGAGAGCAUCCCAGGCACUGCUGUAUCCACAUGGACAGUCACGCUUUCACCAUGUGGGGCUUUUAACCUCGGGCCAUGGAGCUAUUUUUGGUGAUGAGAAGGAAGUUACAGAUGACCCAAUGCUUGGCACACUGCAGAUCUGCAUGAGACACGUUCUGCUUGGAAUGUUUCCUUUCUGAGAGUCAGCACCAAUUACAGAUGAGUAGUAAUUUCUUCUGGAGAUACUCUCAUGGAUAUCUGCCACACAGGGAAUUUCACAUAUGGGUUACUUCUAACAACCCUGCCAUCAUUUCAGCAGCAGUACUAGCAGUUGUAAAGAGGAUAUUAUUCAAACCAGUAACUUUUAUGACCACAUUAAGGGAGCAUAAAAUUAAUAAUCUUGAUGUAAUAGCCUAAACUUGAUUUUAAAUUCUGCAAGUGCACUUCCAUGUUCUGAAACCUGCCCUGGUGCAAUCAUGGACAUGUGGGUAAAUGAACUAGAUACUGGAGCCUGUUGGUUUUUAAUUUGUCACCUGCAGUUCACCCAGUCCCCUUCUUAAUUGUCUUUACAAAGCUCCUGUGCGUGGACUUGCUGACUAAAUAAUUGUAGCAGGGAAUGUGACGUAUCCAGUCUCAAUAAAUAUCAGAGUAGUGAUUCAUCCAAGUGCUGAGUAGCAGCCAGUAGAUGGAGGAGACUUAAGGAGGAAGCAUCUCUCUGUACAGCCCACUCUUGUGUCACUGUUGGAUCUGUUUGUCUAAAUCACUCCUCGGUGGAGGGAUGACUUCAAGCCAAGAGAUGAGUUGGUCUGUACACUCCUACUUCCUGGUGUUCUGGCUAAGCCCUGUGUUUUGGGUCUUAAGCAACAGAACAUGCCAUUAAAACUCUGAGCUGAAAGCAUUUCAGCAGGGCAAGAACUGGAGUUCUGCAUUCCACGUGGGUAUUUAACGUUCUGCUGUGUUAUGUGUUCCCAUAAAUGGCCACAGUCUGGACAAAGUAGGUUAGUUGUGGAGCCUGAAGCUUUCCUGCUAUCUUUGGAACUGAAACUUCCCAGUGCUUUGGGCAGAAAUAACCCAAAUGAGAUUCUUAAGUCACCUCUUGCUCAGAUCUCCAAUUCAGAAGUUUUUACCCUGCCCAUUUUUUUGCCUUGCAAUGGAUUUUCACAUUUGAAUUUUACACUGAAGUUCUAAUAGACCAUUUUCAAGCCACUUAAAAAAGCUAAUUUUAAUUUUAGGGAAGGGGAUCCAAGCCCUACUCCUGUAGGAAAGCACUCUGCCUUUCAAACCUUUAGCUGCCUGAUCAGUUGUUCUCUGGGCUUAAACCAAACUCUUGUCCUUAGAUAUUGUUUAAGCCUGGAGGGUAAAGGGAGUAUCUACAAUACAGCCAGGCUUUUUUUUCCCCUAGUCAUGUACUUAAAUCAGAGCUGCUAAAAGUAGGCUUUUUGGGGUUUUGUGAUUUAAUAUUACUUUCUCUUGUUCUGGAACAGAUCUAGUCCUCCCUUAAUAAUAUUAGAUCCAACUUGAGCCUUUCUAGAGCUUAGCAUUCACCAAAGGAUUUCCCUCAGAGAGUCUAUAUAUAUUUAGGAAAAAAACCCCAACGUGGUUUUCAGCAUUUAACAGAAGUUUAAUGAUGCUGUGCUGUCCUACUGCAAUUUUAAUUCUUUAUUUGAUCAGUGUUGCCAUGAGCAGCCAGUGCCGCCUUUUUGAAAUUCUUCCCCUGCUCAGCUUCAGUUUGACACAGCAACAAGUAAAUGCUGCUUCUCAGUAGCAGAACUCACUGAAACUUCUACUCAGCCCAUCAGGUGUAGAGUAAAUUGGUGUAACAUGACCAUGGCUAACACAUGACUGUAUAAUUAAGCAUUCUUCAGUAACUUGCAUCCAAUUAGCAAGUGACUCGUUAAAGGCAGUGUGGUUGUCUCAUUGCUUAUCCCCGUUGGAACUGCAAGGCUACAGAAGUAGCUGUGAUGGGGGGUCUGGAGUAGGUUUUUUUUGCAGAUCGGUAGAGCA